AGAGUUUGAUCAUGGCUCAGGAUGAACGCUAGCGGCAGGCCUAAUACAUGCAAGUCGAACGCUCAGUAGCAAUACUGGGAGUGGCGCACGGGUGCGUAACGCGUACACAAUCUACCUCUAAGCGGGGGACACCUCCUGGAAACGGGGAUUAAUACCGCAUAAUAUGCCGAAGUCGCAUGACUUUGGUAUUAAAGCAGCAAUGCACUUAGAGAUGAGUGUGCGUCCCAUUAGGUAGUUGGUGAGGUAACGGCUCACCAAGCCUAUGAUGGGUAGCCGGUCUGAGAGGAUGGUCGGCCACACGGGCACUGAGACACGGGCCCGACUCCUACGGGAGGCAGCAGUAAGGAAUAUUGGUCAAUGGUGGAAACACUGAACCAGCCAUGUCGCGUGGAGGAAUAAGGUCCUACGGAUUGUAAACUCCUUUUGACGAGGAAGAAAAUGUUAGAUUUAUCUAAUUUUGACGGUACUCGUAGAAUAAGCACCGGCUAACUCCGUG
rnacentral:rRNA from 1 species